rnacentral:lncRNA from 1 species
CAGCGAAGAACAUGAAUUUAAUUGUAAAUUCGAUGAUGCUCAGUGGAAGAAAAUCUUUCAAAUAUUGAAGGAGUUCUUUUAUACCUCUGAAGAUGUAUCUUCAGUAAGGCAACAAUCUUUUAAGAAAAAAAAAGAUGCAAAAGAGUCAUGCUUGGACUGAUGAGCCCGAACUAACAAAGCAUCUAAGGUUAACUUAGUCUGGUAGAGUCUCUUGAUCCGAACAGGCCAAGAAAGAGAAAUCAGCAAAGGAUUGCUGGAUAUGGUGCUUAUAUGAUAACACCUAGUGAUUUCUCUAUCUGUGAUACUACUACCUAGGUAUUAGAUAUCAGAAGUCCAUACAAAUUAUUGCAACGACUUCAGAUUAGUAGAAAGAUUGAAAAUCAUAAGAGAUUUCUGAACAUUGGAGAUGGAAGUUAUGUUCUAAUCCUAGUUUUAGAAAUCAUCGAGUCUAUUUUCAAUUCUAACAAUAUCAUUUUAGUGAUUGUCACAUUGUCUAAUGAUUUUUAUGAUAUCAUUAUGAAUGAUAUCAAAAUCAUGUGGACAACUGAGAAAUAGCAUUUACGAAUAGUCACAGCUUAUUAGUGUAAUGUACACAUUAAUCAAACACCCUAAAGUAAAUUAUGUCAUGGAUUCAUAUCUUUGACAAUUUAGGCUCGAUCAUAUAAAUAAGAAUAGGAUCAAUAGGAGAUAAUUCACAAUAUCAAUGAUUAUGAAUCAUUAUCAAUCUGUCAAUCCUAUCUCCUUAGUAAGAUGACCAAGUCAUCUUUUGCUGGAAAAGAUGAAUAAGCCAAUGAUGUUCUGAAUCUGAUACAUACUAAUGUAUUGGAUCUACAAAUAUGUUUACUAUAAAUUUAAAAUAUUUAAAAUAUUCAAAUAAUUUCAUAAUAGGAUAGAGAAAUAAACUAGGAAGAGCAUUAAAACUCUUCGAUCAGAUCAAGGAGUAGAAUGCUUUUUUGAUGAGUUUUUGAUAUACCUAGAAGAGAGUAGAAUUCUCUCUUAUUAGAAUCAACUUUGUUAGACAUAGUUUGAUCCAUAAUGAGAUUUACAAAUCUGUCAGUCUCCUUUUAAGGUUAUGCUUUUAAGACUGCUUGUUAUGUUUUGAACU